ACGGGUGAGUAAUAUAUCGGAACGUGCCCUAGAGUGGGGGAUAACUAGUCGAAAGACUAGCUAAUACCGCAUACGAUCUACGGAUGAAAGUGGGGGAUCGCAAGACCUCAUGCUCCUGGAGCGGCCGAUAUCUGAUUAGCUAGUUGGUGGGGUAAAAGCCUACCAAGGCGACGAUCAGUAGCUGGUCUGAGAGGACGACCAGCCACACUGGGACUGAGACACGGCCCAGACUCCUACGGGAGGCAGCAGUGGGGAAUUUUGGACAAUGGGGGCAACCCUGAUCCAGCAAUGCCGCGUGAGUGAAGAAGGCCUUCGGGUUGUAAAGCUCUUUUGUCAGGGAAGAAACGGUAGUAGCUAAUAUCUAUUACUAAUGACGGUACCUGAAGAAUAAGCACCGGCUAACUACGUGCCAGCAGCCGCGGUAAUACGUAGGGUGCAAGCGUUAAUCGGAAUUACUGGGCGUAAAGCGUGCGCAGGCGGUUGUGUAAGUCAGAUGUGAAAUCCCCGGGCUCAACCUGGGAAUUGCAUUUGAGACUGCACGGCUAGAGUGUGUCAGAGGGGGGUAGAAUUCCACGUGUAGCAGU
rnacentral:rRNA from 1 species